rnacentral:rRNA from 1 species
AUUGAACGCUGGCGGCAGGCCUAACACAUGCAAGUCGAACGCGUGGCGGACGGGUGAGUAAUGUCUGGGAAACUGCCUGAUGGAGGGGGAUAACUACUGGAAACUGUAUCUAAUACCGCAUAUUAUUCGAAACGCCGAUGUCUGAUUAGCUGGUUGGUGGGGUAAAGGCCCACCAAGGCGACGAUCAGUAGCGGGUCUGAGAGGAUGACCAGCCACACCGGGACUGAGACACGGCCCGGACUCCUACGGGAGGCAGCAGUGGGGAAUAUUGCGCAAUGGGGGCAACCCUGAUGCAGCCAUGCCGCGUGAAUGAAGAAGGCCUUCGGGUUGUAAAGUUCUUUCGGUGACGAGGCGUUAAUCACAGAAGAAGCACCGGCUAACUCCGUGCCAGCCGCCGCGGUAAUUC